rnacentral:rRNA from 1 species
GAUGAACGCUGGCGGCGUGCCUAAUACAUGCAAGUCGAGCGAACAGAUAAGGAGCUUGCUCCUUUGACGUUAGCGGCGGACGGGUGAGUAACACGUGGGUAACCUACCUAUAAGACUGGAAUAACUCCGGGAAACCGGGGCUAAUGCCGGAUAACAUUUAGAACCGCAUGGUUCUAAAGUGAAAGAUGGUUUUGCUAUCACUUAUAGAUGGAUCCGCGCCGUAUUAGCUAGUUGGUAAGGUAACGGCUUACCAAGGCAACGAUACGUAGCCGACCUGAGAGGGUGAUCGGCCACACUGGAACUGAGACACGGUCCAGGCUCCUACGGGAGGCAGCAGUAGGGAAUCUUCCGCAAUGGGCGAAAGCCUGACGGAGCAACGCCGCGUGAGUGAUGAAGGUCUUCGGAUCGUAAAACUCUGUUAUUAGGGAAGAACAAAUGUGUAAGUAACUGUGCACGUCUUGACGGUACCUAAUCAGAAAGCCACGGCUAACUACGUG